GGACUCCGCCUCCAGGCCCGGGACGCGUCCUCGCUCCGCGCUGCCAGCCCUGCCGCGCCUCGCCGAGCACCGGCUGCUGGGUUGUGGUCGGGUCGGCAGCGACCUCGGAUAGGUCAGUAGGGUGGCCACGGAUUGUCAACUGUGACCCUUUCAGCGGGUGAGGAAAGGUAUCAGAUCUUUCCACCUCCGCAAGAGACAGAGUCUCACUUUACUGCUUUCGGUAGAGUGCCAUGAUGUCACAGGACUCACAGCAACCUCUAGCUCUUGGGCUUCCGCGAUUCUCCUGCCUCAGCCUCCCGAGCAGCCAGCGCCCACCACAAUGCCCGGCUAUUUUUUGGUAGCAGUUCAGCCGGGGCUGGGUUUGAACCCACCACCCUCGGACCCACAUUCUAGUGGAACAGCUGACCCAGCAGUGUAGUGAGCCACACCAGGAAAGUGACUCAGAUGGUCUUGCAACCCCCUCCAAGAACCGACUCAGCAAAGAAGACAGCGUCUUCAGAUUCCUCUGAGCCCUCCUCUGAUCGAGGCCUCAACUUUAGCCCCCGUCCUUGCUGGGCCUGCAUCGCCCGAUCCUAGCAAGGAUCCUGGUAAGUCAGUUUAGCAAGAAUCCCCCAUCUUGACAUCUGACCACUCUCAAUAUCUGGUCAAAUUCCUCAUUCCCUUGCCUUGAUGUCAGAUCACCUGGCCUGCCUUCAGCAAGAAUUCCCUGAUACUGAUGCCCCCACUGACUUCCUCACUCUGCUGGUUGGCUGUAUAUUUCCAGCUGACUUUGUGGAAUUCAAAGUUGAGCCAGAUCUGUCUCUCCUAUAGCAAUAGUCUCAACGUCUGUAGUCCAAAAUAAAGUCUUCCUUAUCAUUUUAGCAAGUGUCAGAAUAGUAUUUUCUUUGACACGACUUCUUAGACAAUAUGCAUGGAUCAGUAAGCUAUGGAGAGUGAGGGAAAGGGAGGAAUUUAAGGACUGUAUCAAAUUUCACAUAAUUUAUCAGUCAUUCAAGGCUUAGUUACAGAAAACUGUGAAAAUAAAUAAAAUUUAAAAGCUGUCGUAACCCCCUCGGUACUUCUUAAGCCUUAAGAAGACUAUGACCUGAGUCACAUGUAGUUAUCAACUUUUGUUCUCAGAUUAUAGUUGUCGUACUUUCUUAUUUUUUCUGGUUAUGUACGAUGACUAGAGAAUUAAAUGACAUCAGGGCCAAAAACCUCCUGUCUUUUAAUUAAUAACCCUUGUUACGGAUUAAUAAUUAACUGCCCCUCUGUUGCUCUGCUUUGCUUAGACUAGAUGACAGAAAACCCAUGAUUACUAUGCCCUUUGUAAAAAAAAAAAAAUGUUAAGGGCAGCGCCCAUUGCUCAGGGGGUAGGGCACCAGCCACAUACACCAAGGCUGGAGGGUUCGAACCCAGCAGGAGCCAGCUAAAACAACAAUGACAACUACAACAACAAAAGUAGCCGGGCAUUGUAGUGGGCGGGGUCCUGCAGUCCCAGCUACUUGGGAGACUGAGGCAAAAGAAUCGCUCAAGCCCAGGAGUUUGAGGUUGUUACGAGUUGUGACACCAUGGCACUCUACCGAGGGCAACAUAGUGAGACUCUGUCUCAAAAAAUAAAUAAAUAAAAAAGGUUAAAUAUACUCUUCCCCAAAAGAAACACUGCUUACACUUCUGUGUCUGCAGAAUAAAAUACAGGGUGCUUACUAUGCACCCAUGUACCAACUUUAUAUGAAAAAUGCUGUAAUCCUGUCAAAAACUUCUGUCUCUGUCUACACGAAAUCUUUUUUUUUUUUUUUUGUGCUUUUUGGCCGGGGCUGGGUGUGAACCUGCCACCUCCGGCAUAUGGGACUGGUGCCCUACUCCUUGAGCCACAGGCGCCACCCUACCCGAAAUCUUAACUUCCCUACUUUGGAAUGCUGUUUCUAUUCCUUUGGAGUUGGUGUUUCCAGGUGGUUCAUCCACAUACUUUGUGCU